GCAUGCCUACAACAUAAAUUUAAUGCAUUGGAUCCCAUUAGAACUCCACAGUUAAGCAUGCUUAGGCUAGAGUAGUACUAGGAUAGGUGAACGCUCGGGAAGUCCUAGUGUUUUGCAUGCC
rnacentral:rRNA from 1 species